GGUGAACGCAGCGGUGCGCCUAACACAUGCAAGUCGAGCGGUAGAUUGAUAGCUUGCUAUUAAAUUGAGAGCGGCGAACGGGUGAGUAACAUGUUGAAAUCUGCCCCCAAGUCAGGGAUAGCCAUUGGAAACGAUGAUUAAUACCGGAUGUGCUCUAUGGAGUAAAGAUUUAUUGCUUGGGGAGGAGUCUACAUUCUAUCAGUUAGUUGGUGAGGUAAAGGCUUACCAAGACUAUGACGGAUAGCUGGUCUGAGAGGAUGAUCAGCCACAAUGAAACUGAGACGCGGUUCAUACUCCUACGGGAGGCAGCAGUGACGGAAUCUUCCACAAUGGACGAAAGUCUGAUGGAGCGACACCGCGUGAAGGAUGAAUGCCUAACUGGUUGUAAACUUCUUUUCUGAAGGAGCAUAAUGAGAGUACUUCAGGAAUAAGGGACGGAUAAAGUACGGUGCCAGCAGACGGGGUAAUACGUAUGUCCCGAGGUGUUAGCCCGGAAUUAUUGGGAUGUAAAGGGUUCGUAGCAGACUGAUAAGUUGGAUAUUA
rnacentral:rRNA from 1 species